rnacentral:tRNA from 1 species
CGGAACUUUCCCCCGGCCCGGGGAAGUGUCUUUGGCGCACUUCGGUGUGCUGUUUCUGGAUGAGCUGCCUGAGUUCAAACGCGGGGUGCUGG